CGAGAUAGCUCAGUCGGUAGAGCAACUGAUUCGUAAUCAGUAGGUCGGGGGUUCGAUUCCCCCUUUCGGC
rnacentral:tRNA from 1 species